UAAAUAAAAAAAAGCGGCCAAGUGCGAGUCGGACUCGCCCAUGAGGGGUUCCGUAGCAGCAAGACGUAUUAAAAAAAACUACUUACUAGAUCUCGUUUAAACCAAUUUUCGGUGGAAGUUUGCAUGGUAAAGUACAUCACAUAUUUUUUUUUAGUUUUAUCAUUCUCUUAUUUUAGAAGUUACAGGAGAGGGACACACAUUUUGCCACUUUGGAAGUGUCUCUCGCGCAAACUAUUCAGUUUAGAAAAAAAAAAUAUUAUUUCAGUUCUAAGUAUGGGGAACCCCCAUAAUUUAUUGUUAUUUUUCUAUUUUUGUGUGAAAAUCUUAAUGCGGUUCACAGGUAUCUACUUACCAAGUUGCAAUAGUAUAGUUCUUAUAGUUUCGGAAAAAAGUGGCUGUGACAUACGAACGGACAGACAGACAGACAGACAUGACGAAUCCAUAAGGGUUCCGUUUUUUUCCAUUUGGCUACGGAA